GAGUGUUAUUUCAGUUUAACUAUGUCAUAACUUACACUCCUCCCCUACACUGAGGAUGUAGGGUGAGAAGAGCUGACAAACUAGGAGAGGACAGAGAAACAAAAAGUCACCAAAGGUUAAUCAACCACCUAAUACAACAUGCAGGUUAUUUAAGGCACACUGAAGACUCCCUUUGAUGUUGGCCUUCAUGGGCAAGUGAAAGACAGGUUCCUGUCCAAGCAGUAGUUACAGACUGUUCCUGGGUGCACUAAUACAAGUGACUAGAGCUGUCCAGUGACCCUGUGGUGAAGCAGCUGUAUACAUCACCUCAGCCCAACUUCUCCUGGAUCUGUACAAUUGGACAUCUUUGGAAGACCUCUGUUCUUCUGCCAUACCCAGCUAAUCUGUACCUUCUGGAAAGAAAGAUAAGCAGCAGGAUUGGUCUCAAGUGCAAGCAGUUGUUGCUCAGAGGAAGCUAGGUUGCUGUACGUGGGAGUGGCACAGGAAGGUUUAAAUGGUGGAGCCAUGUGUUGCUGUGUGUACACUGUGCUGUAUAAGGGAAAUAUGGAACAUGCCAUGUCAACAGUUUAUGCAGCGAGAGCUCUCUCUAUUCUUCGUUAUUGUAUGGGACAAUACACAGAACGUCCUUUCUGCCGUCCUCUUGUCAGUCCUACCCUGCUGUACUAAAGUGUGGCCUGUCUAUACUACAAUGACUGGAAAAGUGUCAUGCUGAAGUAAAGUGCCAUGCUAUGAUUUUGCUUCAAAACAAUCUGUUUUCAGAUGCAUGGAAGGAUGUUUACACAGAAGGCUAAUUGAAUUUCCCCUUCUGCUAGUCCUGCUGAGCAGAGUGAUCCAAAAGCUCUACUUCUCUUCCAAGAAAAUGGAGCGGGUGUUUCUAAGCAUAGCACAACAUCUUUUCAUUACAGAAAGUAGUAACGUUGGAGGGAGUGUUAACGGCACUGAUAUUUGGGAGGCUGUGAGUCUUUUCUGAAAUGCAGUUCUGACAAUUUCAGACAUUUCUUGGCUCAAUAAACAAAGAACAAAAUCCUUGCAGCAAGUAAUGGCUGUAGCUGGGUCACGUUGACCAGCAUGUUAAGCAGGAUUACCCACCUCAGCACAAGGAAGACACAUUUACACCAAGUAGCUAAAGCAGUUUAGUUCACAAGCUGGUAAAGAUAGCCCAAAUGUUUUCUUAAUCAUAUAAUAUGAUAUGCUCUUAAAGAAUAAUUUAAUAUUUUCCCUAGAUAAUUGCAUUGUCUUCCCCUAUGUUGUUCUCAGAUGAGUAUGAGUGAUGCAAUUCCUUGAUUUUGGGAAGCAUCUUAUAUUAGCAUCUUUCCUAAGUAAACUCUGACCACAGCUAAGCCCAAGAACAUGAGGUCUAAGUCACUCGCUGAGGCCAAUAUUCUGUGCUUUAAACAUCCUUUCAUUAAGGCUAGUUUACCUACAGACUAUAGUUGGGGUUUCAAAUCCUACAAAAGUUCCCCUUACAGGAAUGGUAGAAAACAGAAGACAUAGAAGGUUACUCGUCCAAAAUAUACAGAAUGAAAUGUUGGGGAAAAGCAACAAACCAUAACAUUAUUGGGGAAAAGAGAAGAACAUUGGAUGAAUAAGCAUGUAAUCAAUAUCCAACCUUUAAAAUAAAAUCCCCAAAGAGUGAACCACUCAUAGAUUCAAGACUGUGUCAGUACACUGUAGAGACAUACCAGGCUCAGUCUGAGUUAUGCCAGUGUCUGCCAUGUCCACUUUUAGCCACAUUUAAUAUAACCCACUUUUAAUUUCCUGAUGGCAGAGUUCACAGAAAUUCCUUCUGCUCUAUUAACAUCACAGUUUUAAACUGCUUUCUUCCCCAGUGUGUAUCACAUCCCACGCUCUGUAUGCAUGCUCUGAAAUACUCUCAAAAGCAAAAGGACACCCUCCUUCCUUAUCUCCACUGUGUGUGAUGGUGCUCAAUCUUUUUGUGGUAAUUACCAAAUGAUAACUCACUAGAAAUAUAAAUUAUCUCAGCUGUAGCUCCAUAGUAUUUAAAACAACAUCGCUAUCCAUAUCCACGUGCUCUUUUAGAUGGCUUCUUGGUCAUAUUUUCACUUUAUUAGUACCUUUUUUUGGUUCUUUCUGUCUUAUUUGGGGUUCUCAAAUGACAUCACAGGCUUGUUACGCUAUGUCUCUAAAACCACAAAAGAAAAUAAAAUUUCUGUUCCUAAGUUCCU
ensembl:lncRNA